AACGAACGCUGGCGGCAUGCCUAACACAUGCAAGUCGAACGAGACCUUCGGGUCUAGUGGCGCACGGGUGCGUAACGCGUGGGAACCUGCCCUUAGGUUCGGAAUAACUCCCCGAAAGGGGUGCUAAUACCGGAUAAUGUCUUCGGACCAAAGAUUUAUCGCCUUUGGAUGGGCCCGCGUUGGAUUAGCUAGUUGGUAGGGUAAAAGCCUACCAAGGCGACGAUCCAUAGCUGGUCUGAGAGGAUGAUCAGCCACACUGGGACUGAGACACGGCCCAGACUCCUACGGGAGGUAGCAGUGGGGAAUAUUGGACAAGGGGCGAAAGCCCGAUCCAGCAAUGCCGCGUGAGUGAUGAAGGCCUUAGGGUUGUAAAGCUCUUUUACCCGGGAUGAUAAUGACAGUACCGGGAGAAUAAGCUCCGGCUAACUCCGUG
rnacentral:rRNA from 1 species